rnacentral:lncRNA from 1 species
UGAGCUCCAAUAACUAUUAGGUGAGGACCCAAUCACAGCUUUAUUUUCGUGGGAUAUACGAUGGGUCUGACUUAACCAAGGAACGGAUCCAAUAACUGUUAGGUGAGGUCCUUAUGACUUGGAGACCAGGUUAGCUCAAUAUGCUUACGAAGCAUUGUACAAGAGUUGUACACUCAUCGUCUAUGUGUCUCCAAUAACUGUUAGGUGAGGUGACAUAUAGAUUGGUGGGACCGCAGCACCCCACUCGAAACCCUAAGUCGCAGGUUUCCGUAUCUUUACCAGGGGGUGUGAGAGAUCCGAGAAAUAGUGGAGGAUUUGAUCCAAUUUUGUUUUAAAAGUUCCUAAAACAAAUUAAUGUCAAAUACA